GGGGGUUAGAGGGUGAUUAAAAAUUAGAGGGGGUGAAAGUCAGCACAGAUGUUUGAGCUGCAGGUGGAGCAUUUAAAAUUGAUAAAAUAAGGUAAAAUCAUCCCAGACAAACCACCAUUUUUAUUUUUCUCUUCCAUAGAUCGCAACAAAAUAAGUGAGUCACUGCACGCAAUGGCAUCUUGAACGAUAUUCAAGUUAAACAAUUAUUUAACUAAAAAUUAUCUAACAUUAAACAUUCUAUGCAGUCAGUGCAAAUGUCAGUGAGUCUCUCUCUCUGUUUCCAUAAUUCACUUUCAAGUUCCAAAUCUCUGGGAGCAGAGUGGGCAGUCUGGGAGAAUGGAGAUGAACAUGGUUAUACUAAGGGCAGAGUUUCUAUAAAGAUAAAAUGGUGAUUUGCUGAAGAACGUGGCUUUACACCUGAAUUAACUUUAUGAGUGACUGGUAUGAAGAAGUGAGGGGGUUGCUUUUUGUAACUCAAGAACCUACAAGAGAGCUCACAGGAUGUGGGGAUUAUGGGAGCCCACCGCUGCAUUGGAGUUCUCGUCUGAUCCAUCCCCUGUGACUGAUCUUCUGCUGAUUAUGUUUGGGUUGGACCAGUGACAUUGGUAAUAGCCACUUACACUUACAUGACAACACACUGACUAACAUUUAUACUAACUACUUAACAUUCUUUAGUUAAAUAAAUAUUAAGACGCCGUUGCAUGUGGUGACUCCCUUAUUUUGUUGUGAUCUGACUGUGCGUUCGCAACGCCACUGACAAGAGUGUCAAAUUUCGCUCUGCCAACAACAAUGUAGAAAGAUUCAUGGAUGCUCUGAUGAGCGAACGCAUGGUCUUGUAUUUAAAGGAGCCACAAAGGAAACAAGCAUGUUGAUCUUGUGCAGACUGACCACAAGUAGGGUAUAAGUUAACUGCAUGAAAUAUUUAAAAUGUGCAAGAAAGUGAUCAAUGUAAAGAACAUAACAAUUAUAGUUACAUGUUUGUUAACAAAAUAAACCAAUUAAAAGCCAUUUGUGUGGUGUGGCUUUUGUGUUCAUGGUUAGUCUAAUUUCAACAUGCAUUUUAUAUGAGAUGUUUAAUAGCCUUAGUCUUUAAUUAACAUUAACAUUAAUUUGUGCACAGCCUACAAUACAAACUGUCCCGGUUGAAGUGUAGUCUUAAUGCAACUUGUCAAAUUGGUGUUGUUUUGAGUAAAUUAAUUGCAUUCCCGAAAAAAAAAAAAAAAAAGUGACACUAUAAAGUGAUGAAACUAUAGAACCAUGUACUUUUUAAAACUAUUUUCAGCAUUACAAUAUUGGCUUGAAAAUACGCUGAUUUGACUAGAAACACCAGAGACUGGAAAUGGACAGCAUAAUAAGUCAGGUGAGACUUUCACGUUCAAGAAAACUAGAGAGAAUUCUAUCAAGCUCUCACACCAUUUUCCUACAUGUAUGCUCAUGCUUAUAAAUGUCUUUCUGUUAGAACUAAUGGUUUAAAUCAGAACCAAUCCUUAUAUUCUGAACUUUGUCCACAUCUGUAAUGUACCUGUAAUUUUCUAAUAACUCUGAAAAUGCUGAUCAGCUUGCUCAGGUGCCUUUAAUGGAGCUAAACUCUGCAGGUCAGUGGUCUUCCAGGGCUGGAUUUAAGGAACCCUGCAGUUUAUGCUUACAUUUCCUGUCAUGUGGCCAGUGUAUUAAUGGAUCGGGUGUGUUUCAAUUACUGCUAAUGCUGUAGAGUGGACAUUUUAUAUCCAUGAGAAUAAGAUUUUCAAUUUGGUUGCUCAUUCUCAUGGAAAGGUAGUUAGGUAAUUGAGUGCCUCCUUGAAUUAUGACGCACAGUGUCAGGCUAAGUAAGAAAUCUAUUUGCAUAAUGUUUACUUUGCUCCCAAAUCAUCACUCAUUUAUUUAAAAUGAAACACAGCCCUCCUGGUUAAUGUCACUAACCCUGGUGGU
ensembl:lncRNA